rnacentral:rRNA from 1 species
UACGGAGGGUGCAAGCGUUAUCCGGAAUCACUGGGUUUAAAGGGUGCGUAGGCGGCUUUGUAAGUCAGUGGUGAAAGGCUGUGGCUUAACCAUGGAAUGGCCAUUGAUACUGCAGAGCUUGAAUGAGGUUGAGGUUAGCGGAAUGUGACAUGUAGCGGUGAAAUGCUUAGAUAUGUCAUGGAACACCAAUUGCGAAGGCAGCUAACUGGACCUAAAUUGACGCUGAGGCACGAAAGCGUGGGUAGCGAACAGG